GGCUCUGUGGAGCUGCAUGGGAAGCACAAAUGAGCUCUUUACCAGCAGUGUGGUGAGCCCCUGUGUGAGCUGGCAACACACACUGUGGUGUUGUAGCAGCACAGCCCAUGCACCAUUAAUUGGAACUUGCCUGUGAAUUGGCCCAGCUGUGACUCAGAGUCAGCCAAAUUUCACCCCAAAAGACCUGGGUGUGAGUUUCAAGGCUUCAGGAUCAUUUGUUUAACAUAGGGUCCUUGGAUUUUGCCCCAUGUACUGUUCUUGAUUACUCCACGUUUAUUGUUUUUCACCCUUCAUUAAAGUUCUUUUUGGGCAACUCCAUCGAACAUCCUCCUUUUAAUUUUCACCACCUUUGCCCUGAAGUCAGGGCCCAGAGAGGUUUGUCACAGCCACCCUCACUGUGCCAUUCUCUGAGGUGUCACUUCGUUCUCCAGCCAUCUCCUCCUUCUGCAUCUUCCACUGGUGUUUUCAGGCAGUGAUUUCAAGGCUGGGGCUGGGCUGUACCCAGGGAAGGGAGAAACCUCCAUUCACAUGAGGACAGCAAAUAUUUGCCAGAGUUAUGAUGGAGCUUGACUUGUGCUGGUGCAGAAGGAAAGGAAGAAGAGGCAUCCUAAAGAAAACGUUGAAGUGCAGGAGGUCCUUGUGCACAGAAUCCCAUGUGAGAAGCCUGCAGGUGAAGGUGGGCAUGAGCUGUAACUCAAGGACAUUAUCACAAAGCCAUCAAACAACUGUCUUAUAUUGAUAUCAUAUUUGUGUAUUUUUCCUCUCCUUCUCCCUCCUCUCCCUUAAUUGGAUGUCAGCCACGUGGCAAGGUUAUUCUGUUAGACAAGCUGGGAAAUGACAAUGACAGGAUUAUAAUUAAGUGCCAGGACAUGCAGCCAACACAAUUACCAUGCUGUUAUUACACUGGAUGAUGUGCUAAAGAAGCUCAUAAAAACACUGUAAAGAAUAUAAAUCAUGGGACAUGUGUACAAUUGGGGAAGAAAAUGUUUCCCCUUUUGCUAAAGCCCAAUCAGUGCUAGAUAAGUCCAGUGAAAGAGAUGUUUCCUUGCACUGACAGAUUCCUACUUUCAAAUGACUCCAGGAGCAAGCAGUGCUUCUUUUUAUUUCAGCUGCAGGUGUGGUGCUGCAAAUCUCAGCAAUUUUAAGCUGGUAUUUCCCCUCUUUUUUCAGCCACUGCCUUCCUCUGUACCUGCACCAUUGGGAUGUGUGGCCAAAUCUCACCAGUUUUCAGGCUUGUCUUGGCCUUGUGCAGUACUGUCCUGUCCUGCUGAUUUUCUGGGUUUUCUUUCUCAUAAAGUAUUGAAUUAAAGGCUGAAUCUGCCACUGAAGGCAGGAGACCUGGGGCAUUCCUGUGCCAGAUGCCACUUACACCAAACUCUGAUUAACAGCAGUAACUCCAUGCUCUGUUUGCAGCCCUUUCUCCUUGGGCUGGAUGGUGAAUUUGAAGUUCGUGCUUGUGAAUGUGUACCUUGAGUCAGGGAAUGUUGACAUCCACUUCAAAAGAGAAGCUGAUCUGUCAGUCAUAUCUGGCCUUGCAGAGCUUUGGGCUGGAGCUGAACUUCUCUAAAAGUCCAAACUUCCCAAAGCAGGGCUGCCCAGGAGCUCUGCUGCUUCCAUGGCCACAGGCUGUUCUGCUGAAGCUUGGCCACGGUGCUGUUCUGACAAUAUUUUUGCUUCAAAUCAUCUUCUCCUUAGAAAGCUGCCACUCUGAUAUCUUCAGAAAAAUGACAACAAUUCCCCCCCCCCUUUUUUUUUUCAUCUUUUAAUUGGCAUGCUUUGCUGCUGUACUGCACAAAGCUGAAAUUUCUAAUGGUCAAAUUUUAUCAGUUCCAAAAACCCAGCGCUUUGAAAUGAAGCGUAAAAGAAGUUAAAUUGUCUCCACUGCCUGUUUUGAUGUUUGAUCUAAACAUUCUGAUCAUUUGAACGAUUUGAGGAUAUUUAGAGGUUUGAAUUCCUUACUAAUGUGCUGAAUUCACAGCCCUUGAAGUGCCUGUGCUAGCUCAGAUCUGCUCCCACCACCUCCAAUACCUUGAUUCCUCCGGAGGCUAAGCAAGGAGGGCUGGGGUCUAAAUGAAUAAAUGUCCAGAGCACAGAUGGUU